UACGUAGGGUGCAAGCGUUGUCCGGAAUUAUUGGGCGUAAAGAGCUCGUAGGCGGUCUGUCGCGUCUGGUGUGAAAACUCGGGGCUUAACUCCGGGCCUGCAUCGGGUACGGGCAGACUAGAGUGUGGUAGGGGAGACUGGAAUUCCCGGUGUAGCGGUGAAAUGCGCAGAUAUCGGGAGGAACACCAAUGGCGAAGGCAGCUCGCUGGGACGGUACUGACGCUGAGACGCGAAAGCGUGGGGAGCAAACAGG
rnacentral:rRNA from 1 species